GCGGCGGGGGAGUGCAGGGCCGUCAUGACGAUGACCCCGGGCGGCAGCGAGAGGCCGCCCAGCGCCGGGAUGGCCGAGAAGCUGCCGUACCUGAGCGGCUCAGAUACUUCCAGCACCUUUUCCGACGGGCGGCCAUCGGGCAGAGCCUCGCUCCGGGCACGCCGCGGGGCCGCGUCUAGCUGCCAGACGCCGCCGCGUUCAGUUCCAAAUGGUUAUCAAUUACGGUAAUUACGAUCGUAAUUAGAUUAAUGAACCGUUCGGAGCCCAACCUACCGAGCGCACCAACUUCAUCUUCUCCCGAGGCACCGAAAAGCGGGCUUUAUGUCAACAGAUACGAGCGCAGGGAGCGCGAACCUGAGCGAGAAGCCUCGCCCCGGGCUGGAACACGGCGGGAGGAGACCGGGAGCCGCUCUGCGUCCUCCCCUCGGCGGGGAAGGGACGAGCCCGGCGUGUAGCCGGCAAUACAAAGGCUGCCCGGAGAGGAAGGCGAGCGGAGCCGCACAGCCUCGGGGCCCCCGGCGGCGGCGGGCACACAUCGAUCACGCACCGAGAGGCCGCGUGCCCGGGGCUGAGUCCGCAGCCCGCACCGGGGACCGCCGGCGGGAGGCGGCCGUGGCCGUGCAUGUUCGCUCCCGCACGUCUAGCGUGCAGGAGCUGGGGUGCAGAGGUCAUAUUUGACAUUCGGGAGGAGGGGCGGGGGCAGAUUAAUUAAUAAAUUAAUGCCGCGGCGCCUUUUCUCGCCCGG